rnacentral:rRNA from 1 species
UACGUAGGGUGCAAGCGUUAAUCGGAAUUACUGGGCGUAAAGCGUGCGCAGGCGGCUUUGCAAGACAGAUGUGAAAUCCCCGGGCUUAACCCUGGGAACUGCAUUUGUGACUGCAUGGCUGGAGUGUGGCAGAGGGGGAUGGAAUUCCGCGUGUAGCAGUGAAAUGCGUAGAUAUGCGGAGGAACACCGAUGGCGAAGGCAAUCCCCUGGGCCUGCACUGACGCUCAGUGCACGAAAGCGUGGGGAGCAAACAGG